rnacentral:rRNA from 1 species
GACGAACGCUGGCGGCGUGCCUAAUACAUGCAAGUCGAACGCUGAAGGAGGAGCUUGCUCUUCUGGAUGAGUUGCGAACGGGUGAGUAACGCGUAGGUAACCUGCCUGGUAGCGGGGGAUAACUAUUGGAAACGAUAGCUAAUACCGCAUAAGAGUAGAUGUUGCAUGACAUUUACUUAAAAGGUGCAAUUGCAUCACUACCAGAUGGACCUGCGUUGUAUUAGCUAGUUGGUGGGGUAACGGCUUACCAAGGCGACGAUACAUAGCCGACCUGAGAGGGUGAUCGGCCACACUGGGACUGAGACACGGCCCAGACUCCUACGGGAGGCAGCAGUAGGGAAUCUUCGGCAAUGGAUGGAAGUCUGACCGAGCAACGCCGCGUGAGUGAAGAAGGGUUUCGGAUCGUAAAGCUCUGUUGUAAGAGAAGAACGAGUGUGAGAGUGGAAAGUUCACACUGUGACGGUAUCUUACCAGAAAGGGACGGCUAACUACGUG